rnacentral:rRNA from 2 species
GAUUGGUGCUAGCAUCAUGAUUUACAUUUGAGUGAGUGGCGAACUGGUGAGUAACACGUGGGAAACCUGCCCAGAAGCGGGGGAUAACACCUGGAAACAGAUGCUAAUACCGCAUAACAACUUGGACCGCAUGGUCCGAGUUUGAAAGAUGGCUUCGGCUAUCACUUUUGGAUGGUCCCGCGGCGUAUUAGCUAGAUGGUGGGGUAACGGCUCACCAUGGCAAUGAUACGUAGCCGACCUGAGAGGGUAAUCGGCCACAUUGGGACUGAGACACGGCCCAAACUCCUACGGGAGGCAGCAGUAGGGAAUCUUCCACAAUGGACGAAAGUCUGAUGGAGCAACGCCGCGUGAGUGAAGAAGGGUUUCGGCUCGUAAAACUCUGUUGUUAAAGAAGAACAUAUCUGAGAGUAACUGUUCAGGUAUUGACGGUAUUUAACCAGAAAGCCACGGCUAACUACGUGCCAGCAGCCGCGGUAAUACGUAGGUGGCAAGCGUUGUCCGGAUUUAUUGGGCGUAAAGCGAGCGCAGGCGGUUUUUUAAGUCUGAUGUGAAAGCCUUCGGCUCAACCGAAGAAGUGCAUCGGAAACUGGGAAACUUGAGUGCAGAAGAGGACAGUGGAACUCCAUGUGUAGCGGUGAAAUGCGUAGAUAUAUGGAAGAACACCAGUGGCGAAGGCGGCUGUCUGGUCUGUAACUGACGCUGAGGCUCGAAAGUAUGGGUAGCAAACAGGAUUAGAUACCCUGGUAGUCCAUACCGUAAACGAUGAAUGCUAAGUGUUGGAGGGUUUCCGCCCUUCAGUGCUGCAGCUAACGCAUUAAGCAUUCCGCCUGGGGAGUACGGCCGCAAGGCUGAAACUCAAAGGAAUUGACGGGGGCCCGCACAAGCGGUGGAGCAUGUGGUUUAAUUCGAAGCUACGCGAAGAACCUUACCAGGUCUUGACAUACUAUGCAAAUCUAAGAGAUUAGACGUUCCCUUCGGGGACAUGGAUACAGGUGGUGCAUGGUUGUCGUCAGCUCGUGUCGUGAGAUGUUGGGUUAAGUCCCGCAACGAGCGCAACCCUUAUUAUCAGUUGCCAGCAUUAAGUUGGGCACUCUGGUGAGACUGCCGGUGACAAACCGGAGGAAGGUGGGGAUGACGUCAAAUCAUCAUGCCCCUUAUGACCUGGGCUACACACGUGCUACAAUGGAUGGUACAACGAGUUGCGAACUCGCGAGAGUAAGCUAAUCUCUUAAAGCCAUUCUCAGUUCGGAUUGUAGGCUGCAACUCGCCUACAUGAAGUCGGAAUCGCUAGUAAUCGCGGAUCAGCAUGCCGCGGUGAAUACGUUCCCGGGCCUUGUACACACCGCCCGUCACACCAUGAGAGUUUGUAACACCCAAAGUCGGUGGGGUAACCUUUUAGGAACCAGCCGCCU